GUCCAGGUGCAGAGGCUUUACGUGUGCAAGUGAAGAUUCGUCUGAUGCCACGUUUUUGCUAGUUGAAAACUACAACUACUGACCGCUUGUAUUGGCCUUCGUGGUCGGUACGGAAUAUUUGGAAAACAUCUGG
rnacentral:snRNA from 1 species